rnacentral:rRNA from 1 species
GAUGAACGCUAGCGGCAGGCUUAAUACAUGCAAGUCGAGGGGCAGCACGGUUAGCAAUAACUGGUGGCGACCGGCGCACGGGUGCGUAACACGUAUACAAUCUACCUUAAACAGGGGGAUAGCCUUUCGAAAGAGAGAUUAAUACCCCGUAAUAAAUUGAACGGCAUCGUAUGAUUUUGAAAGCUCCGGCGGUUUGAGAUGAGUAUGCGUUUGAUUAGCUAGUUGGUGAGGUAACGGCUCACCAAGGCGACGAUCAGUAGGGGAUCUGAGAGGCCUAACCCCCACACUGGUACGGAGACACGGACCAGACUCCUACGGGAGGCAGCAGUAAGUAAUAUUGUUCAAUGGAGGCAACUCUGAACCAGCCAUGCCGCGUGCAGGAUGACGGCCCUAUGGGUUGUAAACUGCUUUUAUACCAGAGAGAACCCGAGUACGUGUACUCGGUUGAUAGUAUGGUAAGAAUAAGCAUCGGCUAACUUCGUGCCAGCAGCCGCAGUAAUAC